GAUGAACGCUGGCGGCGUGCCUAAUACAUGCAAGUCGAGCGAACGGACGAGAAGCUUGCUUCUCUGAUGUUAGCGGCGGGCGGGUGAGUAACACGUGUAUAACCUCCCUAUCAGACUGGUAUCACUUCGGGACACCGGAGCCAAUCCCGUAUAAUCUCUUGAACCGCAUGGUUCAAUAGUGAAUGACGGUCUUUCGGGCACUUCUAGCUGCAUCCGCGCUGCAUUAGCUAGUUGUUAAGUUAACGGCUUACCAAGGCAACGAUGCAUAGCCGACCUGAGAGGGUGAUCGGCCACACUGGAACUGAGCCGCGGUCCAGGCGACUACGGGAGGCAGCAGUAGGGAAUCUUACGCAAUGGGCGGAAGCAUGACGGAGCAAGGCCGCGUGAGUGAUGGAGGUGUUCGGAGCGUAAAACUCUGUUAUUAGGGAAGAACAUAUGUGGAAGUAACUGUGCAGAGCGUGACGGUACCUAAUCAGAAAGCAACGGCUAACUACGUG
rnacentral:rRNA from 1 species